AUACGUACUGCGCAAACGUUAUUCGGAAUCACUGGGCUUACAGGGUGCGUAGGCGGUUCGCCAGGUCAGAUGUGAAAUCCCACAGCUCAACUGUGGAACUGCAUUUGAAACCUGCGAACUUGAGUAGACUAGAGGUACACGGAACUUCAGGUGGAGCGGUGAAAUGUGUUGAGAUCUGAAGGAACACCAGAGGCGAAAGCGGUGUACUGGAGUCUGUCUGACGCUGAGGCACGAAAGCUAGGGGAGCGAACGGGAUUAGAAACCCUAGUAGUCC
rnacentral:rRNA from 1 species